AAGUCGUAACAAGGUUUCCGUAGGUGAACCUGCGGAAGGAUCAUUACCACACCUAAAAAACUUUCCACGUGAACCGUAUUCAACAAUUAUAAUUGGGGGUGAUCUUGGUGGAAGCUACUAGUCAUUUUGGCUGGAGGCUACUAUAGAGUGAACCUCAUCAUGACGAAAAAGUAGACUUUUGUCUAGUGAAGUAGUGAACAUUUUAAACCUUACUUAAAUACUGAUUAUACUGUGGGGACGAAAGUCUCUACUUUUAUUCUAGAUAACAACUUUCAGCAGUGGAUGUCUAGGCUCGC
rnacentral:misc_RNA from 1 species